AUUUGUAUGAAACGUGCGAAGGAAGACAACGAUGUUAAAGAAGAUCUUUGUAGUUGUUUGACAAUAAACAUUUUGCCUGAAUAAAUAAUUAAGCAAUCCAACACAUACAUAUCACUAGGCACAACUGUAAGUCUGGUAGUAGCGCUUUGAUUAGGUUUAACACACAGAAAAGUUCGUAUAAAAAUAGAUUAUCUCCCUUACUACAAAUACUAUUUAAAGCCCCCCUUUUCAGAUGGGCUUUUUAGGGGGGAAAAAACUCGGGAAGAUUGACAUGAUGCAAAAAAAAAAACUUAACGAAAGAUUUGAAAUGCAACAGGUAAAACUUCUUAUAUUAGGCUCUAAAUAUUCAUCUUGCGAGACGGUAAACAAACUAGAAACAAAACAAAAAGCACGAAAAAGGGGGUAUUUUUUAUCUUAAUUUUUGAUAAACAAUUUAACAGAAGGGAA
rnacentral:lncRNA from 1 species